rnacentral:rRNA from 1 species
UACGAAGGGGGCAAGCGUUGUUCGGAAUGACUGGGCGUAAAGGGUUCGUAGGCGGGUUUCAAAGUUAAGAGUGAAAUCCCUGGGCUUAACCCAGGGAGUGCACCUAAAACUGGGUUGCUUGAGUACUGGAGGGGGUUGGGGAAUUUCCGGUGUAGGGGUGACAUCCGUAGAGAUCAGCAGGAACACCGGUGGCGAAGGCGCCAACCUGGACAUAUACUGACGCUGAGGCGCGAAAGCGUGGGGAGCAAACAGG